GUGGAAUUCCACGUGUAGCGGUGAAAUGCGUAGAGAUGUGGAGGAACACCAGUGGCGAAGGCGACUCUCUGGUCUGUAACUGACGCUGAGGCGCGAAAGCGUGGGGAGCGAACAGGAUUAGAUACCCUGGUAGUCCACGCCGUAAACGAUGAGUGCUAAGUGUUAGAGGGUUUCCGCCCUUUAGUGCUGCAGCAAACGCAUUAAGCACUCCGCCUGGGGAGUACGGUCGCAAGACUGAAACUCAAAGGAAUUGACGGGGGCCCGCACAAGCGGUGGAGCAUGUGGUUUAAUUCGAAGCAACGCGAAGAACCUUACCAGGUCUUGACAUCCUCUGACAACCCUAGAGAUAGGGCUUCCCCUUCGGGGGCAGAGUGACAGGUGGUGCAUGGUUGUCGUCAGCUCGUGUCGUGAGAUGUUGGGUUAAGUCCCGCAACGAGCGCAACCCUUGAUCUUAGUUGCCAGCAUUCAGUUGGGCACUCUAAGGUGACUGCCGGUGACAAACCGGAGGAAGGUGGGGAUGACGUCAAAUCAUCAUGCCCCUUAUGACCUGGGCUACACACGUGCUACAAUGGGCAGAACAAAGGGCAGCGAAGCCGCGAGGCUAAGCCAAUCCCACAAAUCUGUUCUCAGUUCGGAUCGCAGUCUGCAACUCGACUGCGUGAAGCUGGAAUCGCUAGUAAUCGCGGA
rnacentral:rRNA from 1 species